rnacentral:rRNA from 1 species
UACAGAGGGUGCAAACGUUGUUCGGAAUUACUGGGCGUAAAGCGCGUGUAGGCUGCUCAGAAAGUCGGAUGUGAAAGCCCUGGGCUUAACCUAGGAAGUGCAUUCGAAACUUCUGAGCUUGAGUUCUGGAGAGGAAGGCGGAAUUCUCGGUGUAGAGGUGAAAUUCGUAGAUAUCGAGAGGAACACCGGUGGCGAAGGCGGCCUUCUGGACAGUGACUGACGCUGAGACGCGAAAGCGUGGGGAGCAAACAGG